GAGAUUAGGGUUGGAUUUGAUGAGUCGUAGAUGCAAUUUAAUUUGUCCAUAAAAUAUGCUAUAGCUUACAUUUAUCCCCUUCUUUUUUGUGCCUCCUACAAACUAAUUUGUGUCUCUUUUGGAUAUUCAUUCUUUAAUGGGCUCCUUCUAUUGUGCAUUUGCAUUUGAGGAGAUGUGAUCCGAUAAAAAACAGGCUGGA
rnacentral:lncRNA from 1 species